GAUGAACGCUAGCGGCAGGCUUAACACAUGCAAGUCGAGGGCAGCACGGUGUAGCAAUACAGUGGGUGGCGACCGGCGCACGGGUGCGCAACGCGUAUCCAACCUUCCCGUUACUCAGGGAUAGCCUUCCGAAAGGGAGAUUAAUACCUGAUGGUGUUUGAAUUCCGCAUGUUAUUCAAACUAAAGAUUUAUCGGUAACGGAUGAGGAUGCGUGACAUUAGAUAGUAGGCGGGGUAACGGCCCACCUAGCCGACGAUCUUUAGGGGUUCUGAGAGGAAGGUCCCCCACACUGGUACUGAGACACGGACCAGACUCCUACGGGAGGCAGCAGUGGGGAAUAUUGGGCAAUGGGUGAAAGCCUGACCCAGCGACGCCGCGUGAAGGAAGAAGUAUUUCGGUAUGUAAAGCUCUAUCAGCAGGGAAGAAAAAUAACCAAAUUGACUGUACCUGACUAAGAAGCCCCGGCUAACUACGUG
rnacentral:rRNA from 1 species